UACAGAGGGUGCAAGCGUUGCUCGGAAUUAUUGGGCGUAAAGGGCAAGUAGGUGGUCUCAUUUGUCUCGUGUGAAAGCCUUGGGCUUAACCCAAGAAGUGCGCGAGAAACGGUGAGACUCGAGUUCUGGAGAGGGUCGUGGAAUUCCCGGUGUAGCGGUGAAAUGCGUAGAGAUCGGGAGGAACACCAGUGGCGAAGGCGACUUCCUGGCCUGUUCUUGACGCUGAGGCGCGGAAAGCUAGGGGUAGCAAACGGG
rnacentral:rRNA from 1 species